GGCUGGGUGGCUCAGUAGAUUAAGCAUCUGACUUUGGCUCCAGUCAUGAUCUCAGGAUUUGUGAGUUCAAGCCCCACCCAUGUCA
rnacentral:tRNA from 1 species